rnacentral:rRNA from 1 species
GGCCUGGCUGGUCGGUCCGCCUAACCGCGUGCACUGAUUCGGCCGGGUCUUUCCUUCUGGCUAACCCCAUGCCCUUCACUGGGUGUGGCGGGGAUCCAGGACUUUUACUUUGAAAAAAUUAGAGUGUUCAAAGCAGGCCUAUGCUCGAAUACAUUAGCAUGGAAUAAUAGAAUAGGACGG